rnacentral:ncRNA from 1 species
CCUUGACAAGGGCAUACCCGCCGAAAGACGGGGACGCAAAACCACCGAUCUAAGGGGCGUUUAGUCCUACGAUAGCGGGGCUACCGAA